CUUCCUGAGCACCUGCUCUUGAGAGCCAUAACAGUGGCUCUUUGUGGAAUUGUCCCUCAUAAACUUCUUAACUGUGAUGUAGGUAUUUUAGUAGGCACAUUUUCUAGGUGGUUAGAUAGGGGCUUAAAGAUGACUCCAGUAAGAGUGAAUUUUAGUGUCCGAAACCUAAAUGGCAUCCCCAAACUGAUUCAAAAUCCCUUGUUAUUCCACACAUGGUACUAUUUCCCUCCUAUCCAUGUGGUCUUCUCAAUCUGAAAACAUCUCAAGUCUCAGGGUUUUCUUGCAUGGCCAACUGGAACAGAUUCAUCUGGCUUUUAACCUCUGCCCAUCAUGAUCAUUAAGAUAAUUAUCUCAGUGGAGGACCUCCAAGAUUUGGGCGGGAGAAGGGGAGGACCCCAGCAUCUGUGAACAUUUCUGUUAUCUGUGUUGACCAUGGAACAGUGAAGAGUAUUCCUGGUUUACAACUCCAACAGCACAGAAGGGCGGUUGUUCUCAUUCAUCCUGGAGCUUCCCUGCAGAAGCAAGCACAUGUAUAUAUAUUGCAGCACAAAUGGCUCAUCCUAGAGGAUGCUUUGAAGGUCUAAGAAGUACUGCCCACUCUAGGGGUGAGAGUUCUUCCCACUUGGAGCAUUACUAUUUGGGUCUUAAAAUUGUCUUGGAAAUGUGGGAAACCAUUGCAUUUCCUGAA